UACGUAGGGGGCAAGCGUUGUCCGGAAUCACUGGGCGUAAAGCGCGUGUAGGCGGCUCGAUAAGUCUGCUGUGAAAGUCCAGGGCUCAACCCUGGGAUGCCGGUGGAUACUGUCGAGCUCGAGUCCGGAAGAGGCGAGUGGAAUUCCUGGUGUAGCGGUGAAAUGCGCAGAUAUCAGGAGGAACACCAAUGGCGAAGGCAGCUCGCUGGGACGGUACUGACGCUGAGACGCGAAAGCGUGGGGAGCAAACAGG
rnacentral:rRNA from 1 species